GACGAACGCUGGCGGCGUGCCUAAUACAUGCAAGUCGAACGAGAGCGACCGGUGCUUGCACUGGUCAAUCUAGUGGCGAACGGGUGAGUAACACGUGGGUAACCUGCCCAUCAGAGGGGGAUAAAAUCCGGAAACGGAUGCUAAAACCGCAUAGGUCUUCGAACCGCAUGGUUUGAAGAGGAAAAGAGGCGCAAGCUUCUGCUGAUGGAUGGACCCGCGGUGCAUUAGCUAGUUGGUGAGGUAACGGCUCACCAAGGCCGUGAUGCAUAGCCGACCUGAGAGUGCGAUCGGCAACAUUGGGACUGAGACACGGCCCAAACUCCUACGGGAGGCAGCAGUAGGGAAUCUUCCGCAAUGAACGCAAGUCUGACGGAGCAACGCCGCGUGAGUGAAGAAGGUUUUCGUAUCGUAAAACUCUGUUGUUAGAGAAGAACAAGUGCUAGAGUAACUGUUAGCGCCUUGACGGUAUCUAACCAGAGAGCCACGGCUAACUACGUG
rnacentral:rRNA from 1 species